AUGGCAACACCAGCGGCAGUUCCUCGCAGCGACCAAGAAAAAGAAAUAGCAGAAGAUGUGAAUUGGGAAGAAAUCGGAGCAGAGGAAGAAGACGACGACGGCGAUGAUGACGACGGCGAUGAGGAUGAGGAGGAGGAGGAGGGAAGAGGGGAUCCGUCGCAGGAGAUCAAGAACCUGGACGAUCUGGUCAGCCGGCGGAACUCCAUCUGGCCGGCGCGCGUCCGGGUCAACGGCGUCUUCGUCAAGGGAAACGCCAGGACGAGGGCCUCCCUGAUCGAGGCCGAGGUGCUCCCGGCCUUCCGGUCCGCGGUCACGCUCGGGGGUCUCCUCCGGGCCGCCGCGGCCGCCAACGAGCGCCUCCGGCGGCUCGGCAUCUUCGAGUCCGUUUCCAUCACUCUCGAUGCUGGGCCACCCGAUCUCCCGGGCACGGCGGAUGUCGUCAUCGAGGUCGUCGAGGCCAAGAAUGCCGUCGCUGGCGAUAUUUGCGUCUUCUCUAAGCCGGAGGCUAGAACUUGGUCGCUUGAAGGAUCGCUGAAGUUCAAAAACUUGUUUGGCUAUGGUGAUAUUUGGGAUGCUUCUGGGGCUUAUGGCUGGGACCAAAUAUCAGAGAUUAGUGCUGGACUGUCCUUACCCAGAUUCUUAGCAUUAUCAACUCCUCAAACAGCUAGACUUUCGCUACUUACCCAAGAUUGGUUUAAACUUUCAUCUUAUAAAGAACAUUUAUUAGGCCUUUCUUUUGGUUUGCUAUCAACUAAACAUCAAGAUUUGACUUGCAAUCUUACACUGCGUAUGUUAAGUGAUCCAUCACAUAUAUCAGCCGAGUCAAGGAGGAGGCAGAUGCUCUCCUCAUUUAAAUACACGUAUAAGAUUGACAAGAGAGAUUCAAAUCUAAGGCCAACAUGUGGAUAUGCUUUUCUCUCUGCAUCUCAAGUUGGUGGCCUUGGACCUGAUAGUGGGGAUUCACGAUUUAUACGACAGGAGUUUGAUCUUCGAGGUGCUCUUCCAUUGGGUUUUCACAACACUGCCCUCAACAUUGGAGUUGCAGCAGAUCUUAUCAUGCCAUGGGGAAGUGGAUUUCUUGACUCGUCAUUGCCUGAUAGACUCUACAUGGGCAAUCAUUCUUCUCCUGUGUGCACCUUGGGGGGGGGCACCUCAUUGUUGGGGUACAAAUCAGGAGGAUUUAGCCUCCUUGACUUGAAAAGGUUAUUUCGCAGUAAAUUUGACAAUGAUGACUCCAAUGCCUCUCCAGUAAGGAGUGCUUUAGGGGGUGGGCUUGCUGUUUCAGCAUUCGCUGAUCUUUCCUUUGAUAUGCCUUUGGAGCUGUUCAGAGAAUCUGGGAUACAUGGUCACAUGUUUGUCUGUGCUAGGAAUCUUUCUAAAUUAACAGGACAAGAAUUUAAGAAUUUUUCAUUUUCAAAAUAUAUAGAGAUGUUUCGAAGUUCUGCAGGUUUUGGCUUGAUAAUUCCCGCUAGGUUGUUCCGUAUGGAGAUUAACUAUUGUUACAUAUUGAAGCAAUCUGAGCAUGAUCAGGCAAGGACAGGUGUUCAGUUCAACUUCUCUUCCCCAUUGUAGAAUUGUUUUGGCUUGCUUUUUAAGUGGAGAUUUUAAGAUACGUACCACCGAUGACAGCCAUGAUUAUGUUCCUUGAUUACUUUGUAUGGAAGGAUGAAAAUGACUAUAUUCAAAUGAUGGUUUCCUUGCCAUUUUCAUUAGUUCGUAGUGUCAAUAAUCAUGGUAGAUGUUUUAACCUGUAUCGUGGCUCCAAGUCUUGAACUUGUAGUCAAAACCAAAUCUGGUAAUGAGGUGUUAGCUGAAAUGCAGAUGCUGCUCAUGCAACCGGUGCUUAAGUUAGCACAUGAACUGGGAUGUCCAAGUGAAACACAGUUCAAUCGGCACAUCGUGGAUGUUGAAGCAUGCAGGGAAGCAGGAUGGAUAGGGCAUUCUGAAUCAUGUGCUAUUUUAGCAGUCUGGUUUGGUAUGGAUUUGAAAUCAGAUUUUAGGCUCAACUGUCAGCGAUAGAAGCUAUAUUGUUGCCUGGGCUAGUGGAUUGAUAGAAAUAAAACGAAUUUCUUUCCUAACAUCUGUCACAUCUAACACCAGCAUGUCUAGGUCCUUAGUUAAAAUAAGAAAUUCUUCAAAAUCCUGGACAUUCGAUUUAUCAAAGAGUUCUGGUGGUCCUGAGAUGUCCACACCCCAGAUUCUUCAGGUUCUAGUUUGUCGCAGAAUUACGCUUAGAAACUAGAAUAGCUGAGCUUUCUUCCCAGAAAGGAAACCUUUUUUUCCAUCAAGAGAACAUUAGGAAGUGCUUCUUCCAGCUGCAACCUAAAGAGUUAAAGGGAGGGGGAAACGGGAAAAAUAAAAGAUGGUCCUCUCCACUUUAUGGGUGAUGAGUUUGCUUAAACAAUAUUCAGACUCCAUCAACUUCAACAAGGAGGAUGACAGCAAAUUAUGCUUCACUUUGAGACUUCCAUUGUGUCGCACACAAGUUGCCACAUGCACUGACAUCUGCAGCCCAAAUGUAUUAUGCACUUUAUAUGGUGCAAAUGAGAAUGCAAAUUAAAUAAACAAGAAGUUCAUGCAACUAGCAGAUUAUGGAAACUUACAGCAAAAUAACUGUCACUAAAUUAAACAAAAAAUAACGACAAAAAUAAAGUAGAGGCAAA